rnacentral:rRNA from 1 species
UACGGAGGAUCCAAGCGUUAUCCGGAAUCAUUGGGUUUAAAGGGUCCGUAGGCGGUUUGGUAAGUCAGUGGUGAAAGCCCAUCGCUCAACGGUGGAACGGCCAUUGAUACUGCCAGACUUGAAUUAUUAGGAAGUAACUAGAAUAUGUAGUGUAGCGGUGAAAUGCUUAGAGAUUACAUGGAAUACCAAUUGCGAAGGCAGGUUACUACUAAUGGAUUUGACGCUGAUGGACGAAAAGCGUGGGUAGCGAAACAGG